CAGAUUUAUAAUUUAACUAAAAUAUAAUCCUUCAAAGCUUAAAAUAGAUAUUAUCUUGAAUCUGA
rnacentral:tRNA from 1 species